rnacentral:tRNA from 1 species
UGUGGAUCUCCCGCAGCCGGGCCCGGCUCGCCUCGUCCAGCGGGGCGGCCUUGACCUCUUCGAGGAGCUGGCGGAUCAUCCCGCCGAUCCGCAUC